rnacentral:ncRNA from 1 species
AUUCUGGUUGAUCCUGCCAGUAGUUAUAUGCUUGUCUCAAAGAUUAAGCCAUGCAUGUCUAAGUACACACGAAUUAAAAGUGAAACCGCAAAAGGCUCAUUAUAUCAGUUAUGGUUCCUUAGAUCGUUAACAGUUACUUGGAUAACUGUGGUAAUUCUAGAGCUAAUACAUGCAAUUAAAACAUGACCCUUAUGGCACAUGUGCUUUUAUUAGGCUAAAACCAAGAGAUCGCAAGAUCG